rnacentral:rRNA from 1 species
UAGGGAAUCUUCGGCAAUGGACGAAAGUCUGACCGAGCAACGCCGCGUGAGUGAAGAAGGUUUUCGGAUCGUAAAACUCUGUUGUUAGAGAAGAACAAGGACGUUAGUAACUGAACGUCCCCUGACGGUAUCUAACCAGAAAGCCACGGCUAACUACGUGCCAGCAGCCGCGGUAAUACGUAGGUGGCAAGCGUUGUCCGGAUUUAUUGGGCGUAAAGCGAGCGCAGGCGGUUUCUUAAGUCUGAUGUGAAAGCCCCCGGCUAAACCGGGGAGGGUCAUUGGAAACUGGGAGACUAGAGUGCAGAAGAGGGGAGUGGAAUUCCAUGUGUAGCGGUGAAAUGCGUAGAUAUAUGGAGGAACACCAGUGGCGAAGGCGGCUCUCUGGUCUGUAACUGACGCUGAGGCUCGAAAGCGUGGGGAGCAAACAGG